rnacentral:rRNA from 1 species
UACGUAGGGUGCAAGCGUUAAUCGGAAUUACUGGGCGUAAAGCGUGCGCAGGCGGCUUUGCAAGACAGAUGUGAAAUCCCCGGGCUUAACCUGGGAACUGCAUUUGUGACUGCACGGCUAGAGUGUGUCAGAGGGGGGUAGAAUUCCACGUCGUAGCAGUGAAAUGCGUAGAUAUGUGGAGGAAUACCGAUGGCGAAGGCAGCCCCCUGGGAUAACACUGACGCUCAUGCACGAAAGCGUGGGGAGCAAACAGG